GGCUUAAAAUCCCGUCGAUUUUAGAAAUCGGGAGGGUUCAAAUCCCUCUAUCCCCA
rnacentral:tRNA from 1 species